CUUUCUAUGGAAGCUUGCGUUCCACUGAGAAGAUAGUGGCGAACGGGUGAGUAACACUGGGUAACCUGCCCGAUAAGAGGGGGAUAACAUCCGGAAACGGGUGCUAAUACCGCAUAGUUUUCUUGAUCGCAGUGAUCGGAAAGGAAAGACGGCCUUUGUGCUGUCGCUUAUGGAUGGACCCGCGGCGUAUUAGUUAGUUGGUGAGGUAACGGCUCACCAAGACGAUGAUACGUAGCCGACCUGAGAGGGUGAUCGGCCACAUUGGGACUGAGACACGGCCCAAACUCCUACGGGAGGCAGCAGUAGGGAAUCUUCCGCAAUGGACGAAAGUCUGACGGAGCAACGCCGCGUGAGUGAAGAAAAGGUUUUCGGAUCGUAAAACUCUGUUGUUCAGAGAAGAACAAGUUGGAGAGUAACUGCUCCAGCCUUGACGGUAUCUGACCAGAAAGCCACGGCUAACUACGUGCCAGCAGCCGC
rnacentral:rRNA from 1 species